UAUUCUGCCCCAUGGGGAAGGAUGAGAAGCUUCGACUAAGGUUCGACUCGAGCGCCAGCGAGAGAACGUUGCCUCUGGCAACGUCCCGAAGGGCGAGGCGAUUUAGCGCCGAGUAAUCCUUCCCCCACCACCA
rnacentral:sRNA from 1 species